rnacentral:rRNA from 1 species
UCCAACAGCCCAUCAAAACCCUUACUCAAUAUUGAGCGAUUCUAUACUAUUAUAGAAAACCAUAUGCUAGAACUAGUAACAAGAAGAAGACCCCCUCCAAAAUACAAGUGUUAGCCGAAACGAACAAACACCGGCAUUUACCGCCAAUGAACCCACAGUAGUAACUAAACAAGAAAAUACUACUUUUUUUAGCGUCAACCUUACACAAGAAUAUUUCUGGAAAGAUUAAAAAAAGGAGAAGGAACUCGGCAAACUAAUAACCCCGCCUGUUUACCAAAAACAUCGCCUCUUGACAAACAUAAGAGGUCCAGCCUGCCCAGUGACAAAGUUUAACGGCCGCGGUACCCUAACCGUGCGAAGGUAGCACAAUCACUUGUUCUUUAAAUAAGGACUAGUAUGAACGGCAUCACGAGGGUUAUGCUGUCUCCCCCUUUUAAUCAGUGAAACUGACCUCCCCGUGAAGAGGCGGGGAUAAAAUUAUAAGACGAGAAGACCCCAUGGAGCUUUAAACUCAGUAUUAACUGCUUCACUUACAUCAUUUUAAACUAGCAGCCAUAAAAACUAGUUUUUGGUUGGGGUGACCACGGAGUAAAACAAAACCUCCACGAUGAACGAACCAAACACUCUAAUCAUAGAGCCACAACUCAACAAAUCAACAAAUUGACAUAUUUGAUCCAAUUAAUUUUGAUCAACGAACCAAGUUACCCUGGGGAUAACAGCGCAAUCCACUUCAAGAGCCCCUAUCGACAAGUGGGUUUACGACCUCGAUGUUGGAUCAGGGUAUCCCAGUGGUGCAACCGCUACUAAAGGUUC